GGUUCAGUAGUGUAGAGGUUAUCACCCGGGAUUCUGAUUACUUGACUUCCCGUAACCCAGGUUCGAGUCCUGGUUGGACCU
rnacentral:tRNA from 1 species